rnacentral:Y_RNA from 1 species
GGCUGCUCUGAAGAUACGGAGUUAUCUCAUUUGACUGUUCCCUGUCAGGUACAGAUAGAAAUGCUUGUUCUACUCUCUCCCCCCUCUCACUACUGCACUUGACUAGUCUUAA